rnacentral:rRNA from 1 species
CCUACGGGAGGCAGCAGUGGGGAAUAUUGCGCAAUGGGCGAAAGCCUGACGCAGCGACGCCGCGUGAGGGAUGACGGCCUUCGGGUUGUAAACCUCUUUCAGCAGGGAAGAAGCGAAAGUGACGGUACCUGCAGAAGAAGCACCGGCUAACUACGUGCCAGCAGCCGCGGUAAUACGUAGGGUGCGAGCGUUGUCCGGAAUUAUUGGGCGUAAAGAGCUCGUAGGCGGCCUGUCGCGUCGGAUGUGAAAACUCGGGGCUUAACCCCGAGCCUGCAUUCGAUACGGGCAGGCUAGAGUUCGGCAGGGGAGACUGGAAUUCCUGGUGUAGCGGUGAAAUGCGCAGAUAUCAGGAGGAACACCGGUGGCGAAGGCGGGUCUCUGGGCCGAUACUGACGCUGAGGAGCGAAAGCGUGGGGAGCGAACAGGAUUAGAUACCCUGGUAGUCCACGCCGUAAACGUUGGGAACUAGGUGUGGGCGACAUUCCACGUCGUCCGUGCCGCAGCUAACGCAUUAAGUUCCCCGCCUGGGGAGUACGGCCGCAAGGCUAAAACGUCAAAGGAAUUGACGG